rnacentral:lncRNA from 1 species
UGUUGUUUCCCUUCAGUGAUGGAGAGCUCUCCUCUGUUUUCUUCACCUCCAUCCUGCAAGCUGCUAUACUUCUUAAAAGACUUGAUGCCCUGCCUUUGGGUGGUAAUUUACCUCGUAAAAGUUCAGAUGUCUCCUUUUAUAUACAAUUUGUUCAAAAUUCUCGUGAAUGUAGGCACCUUUGACCCACCUUUGGUGUUUUAGAGGCUACGGAUUUUUUUUCUGCCAAAAAUGUUUUAAUUUAUGUGUUUAUUAUUACCAUAGGAGCUGCUGGGCAUGACACAAGGUGCUGCUUUAUCCAAAUACAGCAACAGUCCAGAAAAUUUCCGAUGAAGUAUGAGGUUCAAGCCAACGGGAAGCUACGUGUAGACAAAGCAGCACAAUAAGACUGCGUCCUCACUGGCCCAAUCCAAGCUCUUGUUGACUGGUAGCAGAUGUCCUCACUCUUCACCUUGAGCCGACAUCUUGUUCAAUCAGAUAAGGAAACAUAUCUGGGUCAUGAAACUCAUCAAAAACAUUUGGUUUACGGUGCCAACCUUUACCUUUACAGCAGCUGUUGUGAAUUCAGAGGAGGUUUGAAAUCCCACAAACACCGGCUUUCAAGUAGUGGUUUCAAAUCCAAGAACAAUUCCCCGACUGAUUCAUCAAACCAGCUCAAGGGUGGAAGAUCACAAGCAAAAGAUGAAGAGCAAGUGGCCAGCCCAGCCUAAACCAUGACAGAUGGCAGAAGCAGAACCUGAUGAUCACACGGGUGCCUUAGACUUUAGAAGAUCCCUCCUGAAAGGAUCCAGAAGACGUGGUGAGAAAAUAGUCA